rnacentral:rRNA from 1 species
UAGAGUUUGAUCCUGGCUCAGGACGAACGCUGGCGGCGUGCCUAAUACAUGCAAGUCGAGCGCGGGAAGCAAGCAGAACCCCUUCGGGGGUGACGCAUGUGGAACGAGCGGCGGACGGGUGAGUAACACGUGGGCAACCUGCCUGUAAGACUGGGAUAACUCCGGGAAACCGGGGCUAAUACCGGAUAAUACGUUUCCUUGCAUAAGGAGACGUUAAAAGGCGGCGCAAGCUGUCACUUACAGAUGGGCCCGCGGCGCAUUAGCUAGUUGGUGGGGUAAAAGCCUACCAAGGCGACGAUGCGUAGCCGACCUGAGAGGGUGAUCGGCCACACUGGGACUGAGACACGGCCCAGACUCCUACGGGAGGCAGCAGUAGGGAAUCUUCCGCAAUGGACGAAAGUCUGACGGAGCAACGCCGCGUGAGUGAAGAAGGUUUUCGGAUCGUAAAACUCUGUUGUUAGGGAAGAACAAGUGCCGUUCAAAUAGGGCGGCACCUUGACGGUACCUAACCAGAAAGCCCCGGCUAACUACGUGCCAGCAGCCGCGGUAAUACGUAGGGGGCAAGCGUUGUCCGGAAUUAUUGGGCGUAAAGCGCGCGCAGGCGGUCUUUUAAGUCUGAUGUGAAAGCCCACGGCUUAACCGUGGAGGGCCAUUGGAAACUGGAGGACUUGAGUACAGAAGAGGAGAGUGGAAUUCCACGUGUAGCGGUGAAAUGCGUAGAGAUGUGGAGGAACACCAGUGGCGAAGGCGACUCUCUGGUCUGUAACUGACGCUGAGGUGCGAAAGCGUGGGUAGCGAACAGGAUUAGAUACCCUGGUAGUCCACGCCGUAAACGAUGAGUGCUAGGUGUUAGGGGGUUUCCGCUCCCUUAGUGCUGCAGUUUACGCAUUAAGCACUCCGCUUGGGGAGU